rnacentral:rRNA from 1 species
UACGUAGGGGGCAAGCGUUGUCCUGAAUUAUUGGGCGUAAAGGGCUCGUAGGCGGUUUGUCGCGUCGGGAGUGAAAACUCAGGGCUCAACCCUGAGCGUGCUUCCGAUACGGGCAGACUAGAGGUAUGCAGGGGAGAACGGAAUUCCUGGUGUAGCGGUGGAAUGCGCAGAUAUCAGGAGGAACACCGGUGGCGAAGGCGGUUCUCUGGGCAUUACCUGACGCUGAGGAGCGAAAGCAUGGGGAGCGAACAGG